CAGAUACAGUGAUGAUGGCAUAGUUCAGCAGAACAUGCUGUGAUGAAAAAAGUUGUCUUUCGCUCCUAUCUGAUGUAUCUU